GACGAACGCUGGCGGCGUGCCUAAUACAUGCAAGUCGAACGCAGUGGGGACGGGUGAGUACCACGUGGGUAACCUCCCAUCAGAGGGGAUAACACUUGGAAACAGGUGCUAAACCGAUACUGAUGGAUGGACCCGCGGUGCAUUAGCUAGUUGGUGAGGUAACGGCUCACCAGGGCCACGAUGCAUAGCCGACCGGAGAGGGUGAGCGGCCACACGGUGACGGAGACACGGCCCAUACUACGGUGGGAGGCAGCAGUAAGGAAGCUUCGGAAAUGGACGAAAGUCUGACCGAGCAACGCCGCGUGAGUGAAGAAGGUUUGCGGAUCGUAAAACUCUGUUGUUAGAGAAGCGGUAUCUAACCAGAGAGCCACGGCUAAAUACGUGCCAGCAGCCGCGGUAAUUC
rnacentral:rRNA from 1 species